rnacentral:tRNA from 1 species
UAGCUCAGUGGUAGAGCACAUGUUUUGAAUAUGUGAGAUCCUGGGUUUGAUCCUCAG